rnacentral:rRNA from 1 species
UACGUAGGGGGCAAGCGUUGUCCGGAUUUAUUGGGCGUAAAGAGCGUGUAGGCGGCCAUACAGGUCAGCUGUGAAACUCGAGGCUCAACCUCGAGACGUCGGUUGAAACCGUUUGUCUAGAGUCCGGAAGAGGAGAGUGGAAAUUCCCGGUGUAGCGGUGAAAUGCGCAGAUAUCGGGAAGAACACCCGUGGCGAAGGCGGCUCUCUGGGACGGUACUGACGCUGAGACGCGAAAGCGUGGGGAGCGAACAGG